AACAGUCAAUCAUAUUGACCAUUACAUUAUUCUUUGUGACUUGGGAGAAUACUCCUGUUACCUCAAGUGCUCUAUCUGCUGAGAAUUAGGAACCAUUUCUAUGUAAUAAAGAACUAUCGAUCACCGGGAAGUAUACUCUUCCUUCUUGUGGAAGAAAACUUAUGACAUUGAACUUGAUAAGAGCCAUUAUUUUCACAAGCUCAAAUGAAACAUGUCUUCUUUGUCUCCCCUCCCACCUCUGCAGGUUCAAGUAUGCAGAAUAGACCAAAUCGGAAAGAAGGCAUCACUUUAGACUGAAACAAAUCAGGGCUAACCAGAAAAGACCUUUUAGGCCAACGACCACUUGAGAUGUCCCUGAUUCCUCCGUGUUUCACUCACUGGCUCCUGGCUCCUGGAAUCUGUUGGACCUGUAUUUGCAUUCACCAUUUCUCAGGAGGGAAAUGAUUCUAGUGACCUCACUGUGGGGAGACAGGAGUUUCUGCUCUGCAGGCAGUGUCCUGGAUUGUGAGAAGGAUAGAGACCCUGAAGACAUGCUGGCAUUUAUUCCUCCCACUGCUCCUGAGGACACACAGGAGAGUGUUCUGGCCAAAUUAACCAGUUAUCGGUUCCCCGAAUAACUUCGGUUUUGGACCCCUGACUUGCCUCUGUGAGUAAGUGAGAGGUUCUCUUCCCUGCGUACUUUUGCCUCUUGGCUUUCCUGUCACUACACGAACAUUCAGCCCACAGAUUUCUGUUAUCUAAUCAGGUGCAUCGGUCUGUGGUGGAGACGAGAAGGGAGGAACGCCCCUCUGACUCAGGUUUUGCACAAACAAAACUCAUCCUUGUUAGCAAAGGCAGGAGGAGUACCCAUGGCUGCUCAGAUCAGAUUUUCUCCCCACACUCUGUAGGGCAGUGCAGAUGGGUGGGUUUUUACGGCAAGAUAAGCAACUGGAGGGCUCCACUUGGGUAUGCUAAAAAAAAUUAAAAUGUCAAUAUUUACACAUGACCUUCAAGGCUCUUACACUCUUGCUUUCUUAGGAUUCAGUACAGACUGCGUUUUCUUUAGCCUGUUACCAACAGCUUGGAAAUUCAGUUAGAGGACAUAACCCAAAUGUUCUCCAAAUGUUCCUCCCAAAUGGUCAUCGUGAAAAGUGCUGUUUUAAGGCGUGCAACCUUUCUGCACUAAGAGAGGGCUGUCGUCCUGCUUACCCAACUGCGGGGGAAUUAUCUGGAGAUUAAAACCACCGAUGAUAAAGAUAGUGCUGCCAAGCUGCUUUAAUUUGUUGAUAACUAAAGCACAAGAGGCCUCUUACAGGCUUCUCGAAGCCUCACUAUUGUGUAGUGCACAUUCAACCCUUGCUUGUGUGCUGACACAAACAAAUAAAUGCGAUCAUAACGGUUGAAAUGUAGUUAGAAACACAAUUGAGAACAUCUGUAUUGUAAGCAGAAAUAAAUUAGAAAUACUGAAGUGUUGUGUAGCUGUGAAAACGAAGGAAUAAAAAAAUAACCCACAGUACCUGGAUUAAGUGGUUAUAAAUAAUUUAUAAAGCAAAAAUCUCAUUACCCCCUGUGUAAACUCCCCCCUCAAUGAAAUAUAUUUUAUGAAUGUAGUAACACUGUAAUAACCAAAGCAUUUGUUUUUCCCCACAAACUUUCCAUUUCAUAACUGGGAGAUUGUUUGGAUUUACAAGUUCAGGACAAAACAUCCCCGAAUUUACUGGUUUUGCUUUCUUCCUGUGACCUUCAGCCCCGGGACUCUGUGGG
ensembl:lncRNA